GGGGAUUUAGCUCAGUGGCGUAAGCACCUGCCUUGAAAGCAGGCGGUCGUGAGUUCGAUCCCUG
rnacentral:tRNA from 1 species